rnacentral:tRNA from 1 species
GAGGGUAUAGCUCAGUGGUAGAGUGUGUGCUUAGCGUGCACAAGGUUCUAGGUUCAAUCCCCAGUAUCUCCA